GUCUACAACCUUACCACCUGAACACACCCAAACUCGUCUGAUCUUGGAAGUUAAGCAGAGUCAGGCCUGAUUAGUACUUGAUUGCGAGCCUGUGGAUCUGAUUCUAGUGUCAUGGAACUCCUGUGUUGUUAAUA
rnacentral:rRNA from 1 species